UAGGCGGUAUGGGAGGCGCAUUCAUUGGAGGUUGAUCAUGGAGAUGACACGGAUCUGAGCGGAGUGAGUUGCUGGUCUGGAGGCGGAGGGGAAUCUCCGGCAGGUCUGGGCCUACGGCACUGGCACGAGCACUGCCGGCGGUGCUAUCCCGCGCCGGGUACCCGGGCGCGCAUCGCCGCUGGUUAUCUCCCACGCCGGCGGUGUUGUGCGGAUCCACCAAGGUAAAUAUAGUUGUUGAUUGGAAUGGCAUUGUCCCUUUUUUUAGUUUCGUGGGGAGUUCUAAAACCAAUUCGUUUUUUGGAUUUGGGGGCAUAACAGAAGGAUGAUUAGCCCGGAUGUCUCGGUUUCGUAGGUCAUAACAAGCAUAUGGAGAAGGGAGCUGAGUAGAUGCAUCGGUUGCUGGAUUGGGAAGGGUAGGGGAAACAUGAGAUUCCGGCGGAGCGGCAGGCGGACAUAGAAGUGCACCGCCAACGAGGAGAUCAGCAGCCGGUGGGUGUUCUCUCGAACCAUCAGGUAAAUCUGUGUUCAUUGACUUUGGGGGCGAACCCUAUAUUGCAGUUUGGGGAUUUUUAAGUUGCAGGUGCCACCGCAGGUUAGAUUUGUGAGUGGACUAGCCCUUAUGUAUCUUCUAUGUAGCCCGAGUUCAGGUGCGUCUUGCAACGGCAUCAUGCAGGUACGGAAUCCAGAGAACAUCAUCUGUAAUGGAAAAGCAGAUGACAUGGGUUUGGUUUGUGGGGUGCAAAUCACAUAGGGUUUCGCAAUUGCUUAUUUUCCGUAGUGAUCCAUUCUGCGUGCCUUGGUCAGUCCAACCUGGAUAAUCAUGCAGGUACUGUAUUCUUGCCCCAGUAUCAGUCGCAGUGUACAUGGGCUUGGUUGUGAAAGGUGUACAGAAAGUGGGUAGUUCUUGGGGUAGAUGACUAGAUUUUGCAGAUUGCAUCUCUGAUGUGCAAAGUACAGCCAUGUACUCCUUGGAUGCAAGAUACAACAUUGGUUGUUUUUGUUCAGUGGAGAGUGCGACACGAUUGAUGAUGUGUGUAGCACGAUUACGACAUUACCUCCUUGUCCAUCUAUUUUAAUGUUUAUGGAAAUUAUAUUGAUGUGAAGGUUGUUGGCUAUAAUUGGGAUUGAGGGGCUUAACCUGUCAGCAGUAUCGUACUUGGAAGUACCACAAAAAUGCAUGUUUCACCGUAUCUGCCAGCGGCUCCGUUUAUACUAUUCACGGCAUAUUCUUGAUUUAUCUCUGUUUUGUUUUUG
rnacentral:lncRNA from 1 species